rnacentral:rRNA from 1 species
AUUGAACGCUGGCGGCAUGCCUAACACAUGCAAGUCGAACGGCAGCACGGUCUAGCUUGCUAGAUGGGUGGCGAGUGGCGCACGGGUGAGUAACGCGUAGGAAUAUGCCUUGAAGUGGGGGAUAACUUGGGGAAACUCAAGCUAAUACCGCAUAAGCUCUUAGGAGGAAAGCUGGGGACCGUAAGGCCUGGCGCUUCAAGAUUAGCCUGCGUCCGAUUAGCUAGUUGGUGGGGUAAGGGCCUACCAAGGCGACGAUCGGUAGCUGGUCUGAGAGGAUGGCCAGCCACACUGGGACUGAGACACGGCCCAGACUCCUACGGGAGGCAGCAGUGGGGAAUAUUGGACAAUGGGGGCAACCCUGAUCCAGCAAUGCCGCGUGUGUGAAGAAGGCCUGAGGGUUGUAAAGCACUUUCAGUGGGGAGGAGGAUUGACAGGUUAAGAGCUAGUUAAUUGGACGUUACCCACAGAAGAAGCACCGGCUAACUCCGUGCCAGCAGCCGCCGUAAUAC